rnacentral:rRNA from 1 species
AUUGAACGCUGGCGGCAGGCCUAACACAUGCAAGUCGAACGGUAACAGGAAGCAGCUUGCUGCUUCGCUGACGAGUGGCGGACGGGUGAGUAAUGUCUGGGAAACUGCCUGAUGGAGGGGGAUAACUACUGGAAACGGUAGCUAAUACCGCAUAACGUCGCAAGACCAAAGAGGGGGACCUUAGGGCCUCUUGCCAUCGGAUGUGCCCAGAUGGGAUUAGCUAGUAGGUUGGGUAACGGCUCACCUAGGCGACGAUCCCUAGCUGGUCUGAGAGGAUGACCAGCCACACUGGAACUGAGACACGGUCCAGACUCCUACGGGAGGCAGCAGUGGGGAAUAUUGCACAAUGGGCGCAAGCCUGAUGCAGCCAUGCCGCGUGUAUGAAGAAGGCCUUCGGGUUGCAAAGUACUUUCAGCGGGGAGGAAGGGAGUAAAGUUAAUACCUUUGCUCAUUGACGUUACCCGCAGAAGAAGCACCGGCUAACUCCGUG